CGCCGCGUGAGGUGACGAAGGCCUUCGGGUUGUAAACCUCUUUUAGUAGGGAAGAAGCGAAAGUGACGGUACCUGCAGAAAAAGCACCGGCUAACUACGUGCCAGCAGCCGCGGUAAUACGUAGGGUGCAAGCGUUGUCCGGAAUUAUUGGGCGUAAAGAGCUCGUAGGCGGUUUGUCGCGUCUGCUGUGAAAACUGGAGGCUCAACCUCCAGCCUGCAGUGGGUACGGGCAGACUAGAGUGCGGUAGGGGAGAUUGGAAUUCCUGGUGUAGCGGUGGAAUGCGCAGAUAUCAGGAGGAACACCGAUGGCGAAGGCAGAUCUCUGGGCCGUAACUGACGCUGAGGAGCGAAAGCAUGGGGAGCGAACAGGAUUAGAUACCCUGGUAGUCCAUGCCGUAAACGUUGGGAACUAGAUGUAGGGGCCAUUCCACGGUUUCUGUGUCGCAGCUAACGCAUUAAGUUCCCCGCCUGGGGAGUACGGCCGCAAGGCUAAAACUCAAAGGAAUUGACGGGGGCCCGCACAAGCGGCGGAGCAUGCGGAUUAAUUCGAUGCAACGCGAAGAACCUUACCAAGGCUUGACAUAUACCGGAAACGGCUAGAGAUAGUCGCCCCGCA
rnacentral:rRNA from 1 species